CAGGUGGAACGGUGAAACAGCGACACCAUGUGGCGGAUAAAUAACAGCAGCAGAUAUCUGAAGACACUGAAGGAGCAACGGUGAAGAAAAGGAGGAGAUUCCCUCACUGGAGGCUAAAAUGCAGUCUGCUCAGCAACUUGAUGGAAGAAGAAGAAAAAGGUCAAAGGUGGAACGGUGUAACAGCGACACCAUGUGGCGGACAAAUAACAGGUAUUUUGUACAUUACAUGUAAAUCUGACUUUAUCUUUCAGUUUACAUGCCAAAACAGGACUUUUGAAAUUGUUUCAACCUUCCAGAUAUUCACAUCUAUUAAAGGACUUUUUAGAGGCUACAAACAUCAAGAAAAGUUCAAUUUUGUCAGAAUUCACUGGGGUGUUUAAACUAUUAGUUGCAACCAAUAUUAUCAUUGGUUGAUGUCAGCUUCCAUCACUCUGUUGCAGUCUGGCAGAGAUUUGCAAAACAUGACAGGAUAUUUGUCUAGUAUUUUCUUCUCUACUUUACAUUUCUGAUCCCAUUGAGGGAACAGUUUUAGACCUCACCCAAAACACAAACUGCUCAUUAAAACGGUGUCUUUUUCAGAUCAAAGAAACAUUUAUUUGUUGUCUUCCCCACCAACAGCUGCUCAGUUAAACAUGUGGUCAGUGUUUAGCAUUUUAGGUUGUCUGCAGGUUUGUUGUGAAACCUGUUGUCAGGUUUUUGUCUCUGAUGAAGGUUCUCCUUCAGGAGCCAGAGCUGGGCUUACCGCAGUCUAUCUCCUGCUGAAGCUGCUGGUUUAUUAUACCCACUGAGGAAUUGAAUGUCAUGAAGGUAAGCUCCAGCGGUUAGAGGAAUAAUUUCUGAGUAUUUCUUGUUCACAUGGCUGUUCUUAUCAUAUGUAGUAUUUUCUGUAGCUCUGACUGCUGUCAUAGUGUUCUCAGGUUCAUCUGAUAAACCUGAAGGCUGGUUUGGGGAAUUAGCUUUGAGCUCUGUCUCUCUGAUAGAUGUGUUUAAGGACCCUCCUGUUCAUGUGGCCAAUGGCUGCAAAUGGCCUCCACCUGUUGGCUGCAUUUAUGCCCUGAAUCUGAGUUCAGUUUAAGAAGGCUGCUUGGAUUAUUUGAAGGCAAUGGAAAAACUCAAACAUUUUUACAUUCAAGUAAAAGAUUUCUAGAAACAGACUUUAUCGUUGGAGACUUUCCUUCUUAGGACAGGAAGUGUUCCUCCAUUGGGGCUGUCUUUCCAGAUGCCUGAUGAAAUGGACAACCAGCUCUUUUUCAGUCUGUUAGAAGUUCCCAGGGUGCAAUAUUUCUGUCCACCCUGCUCUUUGAGAUGGUUGACAGAGUACUGAUCUCCACCAGGGCUUUGACCAUCUGAAGGACAUGCUGGUGUCCUGGCUGACCAUCAGGAC